GCGCCCUCCUGACAAUGUCAUACAAUGUCAUAGCUGGGAUAUAUUUUUACGAUUUAAAUAAAUAAAUUACUAACUUCAUUGUCGCCGUGCGUAUUUUACUAAUAUUGAACACAUAAUGGAAAACCAGGAGCACAUUUUGAAUUAUGCUCGUUUUGAAGCCAUUGCGAAUAUUAUCUUGGGCGUCUGUGCUGUUUUACUUAGCAUUGCAGUCUUAGCUGUAUAUGCUAUGUACGAAGCAACGCCUGCACUGGAUGAGGAAUUUAUGAAUAUUUUGACGUUGAGUGUAAUUUUGGUAACUGGAAUAAUUAUGAUUGUAGUCAGUGUGCUCUUCCUGAAAGGAGUUAAAGAGAAAAGUGUAGGAAAAACGAAAGCCUACCUGUACGUUACCAUCGCGCUAUCUGUUGUUAUCCUUGCGUUGGGUGUCUAUGGUCUCAUAAUGAAAGAAUAUCUUGUAGGUGUAUGUUUUAUAGUCCUUGCUCUUCUCUUAAUUUUCUGUACGUGGUAUUACAACUGGAAGGUGGUGAAAAUGUUUUCCGGUAGAAAUUAGCUUUACAUCUAAAGUACACCAGAGACUUUACUAACGUCAGUAGUCGUUAAACCUGUUCUCUAACUUGAUAUCCUACAGGGUAGAGAGAAAAAAGGCAACGGUUAAACAAAUCAUUUUGUAUGUAGGAUUCUGUUUAUAUUUUUAUUUACUGUGAACUGUUUUAAUGUUACAUUAUUGUGGUCUUAAAAAUGUGUUUCAUUGAUUGAUGAUCAACCAAUAUAUUUUGGGACCUGAUGGUACAUUGGACAGUAAUUAAACACUUAAAGAAUUAGGC